AACUUCUCUCUCUCUCUCAUCUUGCAAGUGAACAGGCCAGUUGUCGCUGAACAUCUGUUGUGAAGGCACUGACGCUGUGUUCAAAGCCUGCUGGAGGAGUUUUAGGAUAGUGCACGGUUCAGCAGAAUAAGGAAGAUGAAGGUGCAUUUCGUCGUCUGCUUAGCAAUUAUAACACAAAUGCACUUCAGCAUCCCCGCAUGCUGUGUAGACGAAAAAGAGCGCGCCGUGCUUUACGCGGGGGGCCAAGAUGCAGACUUGCCAUUGGUGAGUGUGCUAAUAGAAGUCUGCAGUAAGCGACCGAGGCCUCCGAUCCGCUUUGGUCCGACAAAGCGGUGUCGCCUGUACUAUAGGGGCCGUUGUGUCUACUGGUCGGAAAUUGGAUAAUUAUUUCGUUCGGUUUUA